rnacentral:rRNA from 1 species
UACGUAGGGCGCAAGCGUGUCCGGGAAUUAUUGGGCGUAAAGAGCUCGUAGGCGGCCUGUUACGUCUGCUGUGAAAUCCCCGGGGGCUUAACCCCGGGCGUGCAGUGGAUACGGGCAGGCUGGAGGCAGGCAGGGGAGAACGGAAUUCCCGGUGUAGCGGUGAAAUGCGCAGAUAUCGGGAGGAACACCGGUGGCGAAGGCGGUUCCCUGGGCCUGUACUGACGGCUGAGGAGCGAAAGCGUGGGGAGCGAACAGGA